rnacentral:rRNA from 1 species
AUGCAAGUCGAACGGUGAAGCCCAGCUUGCUGGGUGGAUCAGUGGCGAACGGGUGAGUAACACGUGAGCAACCUGCCCCGGACUCUGGGAUAAGCGCUGGAAACGGCGUCUAAUACUGGAUAUGAACCGCAGCCGCAUGGCUAGUGGUUGGAAAGAUUUUUCGGUCUGGGAUGGGCUCGCGGCCUAUCAGCUUGUUGGUGAGGUAAUGGCUCACCAAGGCGUCGACGGGUAGCCGGCCUGAGAGGGUGACCGGCCACACUGGGACUGAGACACGGCCCAGACUCCUACGGGAGGCAGCAGUGGGGAAUAUUGCACAAUGGGCGGAAGCCUGAUGCAGCAACGCCGCGUGAGGGACGACGGCCUUCGGGUUGUAAACCUCUUUUAGCAAGGAAGAAGCGAAAGUGACGGUACUUGCAGAAAAAGCGCCGGCUAACUACGUGCCAGCAGCCGCGGUAAUACGUAGGGCGCAAGCGUUAUCCGGAAUUAUUGGGCGUAAAGAGCUCGUAGGCGGUUUGUCGCGUCUGCUGUGAAAUCCCGAGGCUCAACCUCGGGUCUGCAGUGGGUACGGGCAGACUAGAGUGCGGUAGGGGAGAUUGGAAUUCCUGGUGUAGCGGUGGAAUGCGCAGAUAUCAGGAGGAACACCGAUGGCGAAGGCAGAUCUCUGGGCCGUAACUGACGCUGAGGAGCGAAAGGGUGGGGAGCAAACAGGCUUAGAUACCCUGGUAGUCCACCCCGUAAACGUUGGGAACUAGUUGUGGGGUCCUUUCCACGGAUUCCGUGACGCAGCUAACGCAUUAAGUUCCCCGCCUGGGGAGUACGGCCGCAAGGCUAAAACUCAAAGGAAUUGACGGGGACCCGCACAAGCGGCGGAGCAUGCGGAUUAAUUCGAUGCAACGCGAAGAACCUUACCAAGGCUUGACAUACACGAGAACGCUGCAGAAAUGUAGAACUCUUUGGACACUCGUGAACAGGUGGUGCAUGGUUGUCGUCAGCUCGUGUCGUGAGAUGUUGGGUUAAGUCCCCAACGAGCGCAACCCUCGUU